rnacentral:rRNA from 2 species
GCUGCCAAGCCCGUACGCGACCCCAGGUCAGGCGGGGCUACCCGCUGAGUUUAAGCAUAUCAAUAAGCGGAGGAAAAGAA